rnacentral:rRNA from 1 species
AGGGUAAUAUACUUGAGCAACUUGACGUUAUCUACAGAAGAAGCACUGGCUAACUCUGUGCCAGCAGCCGCGGUAAUACAGAGAGUGCAAGCGUUAAUCGGAAUCACUGGGCGUAAAGCGCGCGUAGGUGGAUGUUUAAGUCGGAUGUGAAAGCCCUAGGCUUAACCUAGGAACUGCAUUCGAUACUGAAUAUCUCGAGUAUGGUAGAGGGAAGUGGAAUUUCCGGUGUAGCGGUGAAAUGCGUAGAUAUCGGAAAGAACACCAGUGGCGAAGGCGGCUUCCUGGACCAAUACUGACACUGAGGUGCGAAAGCGUGGGGAGCAAACAGGAUUAGAGACCCUGGUAGUCCACGCCGUCAACGAUGAGAACUAGCUGUUGGGAAGUUUACUUUCUAGUAGCGAAGCUAACGCGUUAAGUUCUCCGCCUGGGGAGUACGGCCGCAAGGUUAAAACUCAAAGAAAUUGACGGGGGCCCGCACAAGCGGUGGAUCAUGUGGUUUAAUUCUAUGCAAAAAA